ensembl:lncRNA
AUGAGUUGUGUUACGUCGCUCGGGGCCCAUGCUUUCAUGACAACAUACCUGCUCUUCGUGAUGGGAUGCGUUGCACAGAAAGUAUACUUUGACUGUGGUGCCAGGGUGGAUGUGGUGGACGUCCAAGGCCUCAUUCUGUCCCCCGGCUUCCCCUACAACUACUCAUCCGGGACACACUGUGUUUGGCAGUUCUUUGUGCCUGUCGAUUACCAGCUUGUUCUGGAGAUAUUUGACUUUGAUGUGUUUGAAAAACAUGACCCUGCCCAGUACUCCGCUUUCUCCAAUUUUGCAAAGGAAGAGGCAGACCAAGAGGGGACUUUCACUCCUGGCAGCUUAGAGGUAGCAGAAGAGCCCAUGCUGCAGCGCGUACGGGCUGUUGCAAAGACUAAGCAGUCCUCCCAAAAUGGCCGGGUCAACCAAGUGGUGGUCCAAGAACGGUCCACAAAGAUGGAGGUCGCCAAAGUCUCAAAUUCUGCCAAAAGAUCAGCGGAGACCUCCGGUGGCCUUUCUUCGCCAUCUCCCCCCUCUCCCCUUCUCCUACCCGGUGCUGUGUCUCCAGAAGACAAGACCGUCAACUCCGUCUCCUCGUCUCACCUCAGGGGAGACCUCAUUCCCGGCUCUAACCCGAUCACAGUGCAAGAGGCCACCGUCGCCUCGCCGCACUCCACCGACACUCCAGCCGCGAGCCCAGGCACCCAGCACUCGGAGCUCGACGCCUGCCCCCACGACGUCCUCUACAUCUCGGACCUCAUCACCUUCUCCUCCAGGUUCUGUGGGUCCAACCGGCCUCCCAACAGCCAGCUGGUUUUCGGCUCCAGCCGGGAGAUGGUGGAGGUCAUCAUGGAGCUCAUCACCACCACUCACUGGGGCCGCGGCUUCGCCCUUCUCUUCCACUACCACAACCUGACCGAGCCUGGGGGGGACCGCCGUGCCUCUGCUGCCACAGCCAGCAAGGUGGACUCUUUCCUGGCUGCCGUGAGCGGAGCGGCCUUCUUCGCAAUGAUCCUUACGAGUGCCCUCUGCAUCAUAUUCAGACCCAACCUGUGUCCAAAGAGAGCAAGCUCCUGUGCAUCCAGCACCUCUGAGGUGCCGGAGGGAGUCCAGAACACGGCGGCUGAGGUCAGCGAGCUGCAGCUGAUGGCUGAGAAUCAGAGCAACCUGGAAGGAACCACGGAGCAUGACAACAACAACGACAGCCCGCCACACACAGUCAGUGCAGGCGGUGACAUUUCCCAAAGUGCAGAGGUGGACCUUUCCUGCAGCGGGUUGACUGAACUCGACCUUGGUGCAGAUGAGGUUUUUAUUGUAUCUUCAGCCACCAGCCCAAGCAGGCUGCCCUUCUCGCCUCACACGCAGAGGGAGCGGUUUCUCCGUCACAGCGACACCGGCCCCAGCUCUGCGGGCGAUUGGCCCUCGCCAGACUCUGCCACCUCGCCCGCUGGCGCCAGGUCUCCCAAGGACGGCGGCGGCGGCUGUGCCAGGCCCAGAGCGUGGAGCGUGCGCACCUUCCAGGACUUCCUCCCUCCUCUGCCACAGCUGCACAAGAAGUGGUGCAGCUGGAACUCCAACAGUCCCUUCACCAAGCUGGUGGACAGCGUUCCGUCCAGUUUGGUGGCUGACUGCGGAGGGGAGGACAGAAGGAGAGUCCUCUCGGACGUUCACCUGGACACCAAGGGGGACAAGAGCGGCAACUCCGACUCGUCGAUCAGCAAUGCCUCCUACCCUCUUUCGCAGCCCGCCCAGAGGCAACGGCGCCUCAACUCCACCAGCAACCUGCGCCGCUCCCGCUUCACGGGGCCCUGCUUCGGCCUCCUCACCGGGGCCACGGAGCCCAUUAAAGCCCCCGGGGCUCCUCACGCCGAGGCCGCCCCGUCAGAACCCGGCUCUGUCCCACCUCCCUCCAGCCAGAGUCAGAUUGAGGGCGGCCAGGCGGGGAAGAGGCGCGACUUCCCGAGCGAGAGCGACCACAUCAGCGUGCCCGUGUUUGCCAUCUGCGAGGAGGAGGACCGGCAGCCCCUCGUCCCGGCCGAGCAGCUGGACCAGGCGCCCGCGUCGAACGGAUCGCUCAAGGGGAAACGCGAGGGGGCGGAGCCCGGCGGCGGACAGACUAGCUUCAGCCCACAGAGGCAGCGGGCCAGACCGGAGCGGAGGCCGUGGGGGAGCCAGGCGUCGGGAGGGGUCGGCCCCCUCUCUUCCGACACUCUCGCCGCCAUGACUGGGUCGAGCGCAGUCUACGAGAGCGGUUCGUCUCUUGGUCAGUCGCUGUUCAGCAUGACCAACCAGGUGUGA